GACGAACGCUGGCGGCGUGCUUAACACAUGCAAGUCGAGCGGAGCGGCGGACGGGUGAGUAAUGCCUAGGAAUCUGCCUGGUAGUAGGGGAUAACGCACGGAAACGGGACCUAAUACCGCAUACUAUCAGAUGAGCCUAGGUCGGAUUAGCUAGUUGGUGGGGUAAAGGCCUACCAAGGCGACGAUCCGUAACUGGUCUGAGAGGAUGAUCAGUCACACUGGAACUGAGACACGGUCCAGACUCCUACGGUAGGCAGCAGUGGGGAAUAUUGGACAAUGGGCGAAAGCCUGAUCCAGCCAUGCCGCGUGUGUGAAGAAGGUCUUCGGAUUGUAAAGCACUUUAAGUUGGGAGGCGUUACCAACAGAAUAAGCACCGGCUAACUUCGUGCCAGCAGCCGCGGUAAUAC
rnacentral:rRNA from 1 species